AUUUUAUUCUGUAGUAUGCUCUGAGGAACGCGGCAUUUUGCCAGAUUUCAAAAUGGCCUCGUUUAUCACCUAAAUCCCCUGUGAAAGCUAUGGAAUAAGGUAAUUGGAUCUGGUGCCUUGGGGAGCUGCCAGGCAUGAUGUCACAGCUCUGCAGAAAAAAAUACCCUAUGUAAGUGCUUGAUACACUAGCUAACAUCUCAUCCCGGUGGAGCGAGGAACUCUGGGUUUGGGGAUUGCUGAGAUUUCAGAGGCUCAGGACUUUUUGGUCAAGAGUUAAGGAGUCCAGCCAGCAAGGAUCUGGCAGGGUGAGACAUUUGGGCCCCAGCACUCUUCCCACAGUUCAUCUGCGAGGCUGAAUCCAUUGCUAGAGGAAACAUUUGCCCUGAGCAAAAUAGGACCUGGAUGUAACAAGGUGCUUGCACAUGCCUCAGGAGACCUCACAAGAAAACUGAAGCCUUGUGUGUCAGAUACGACCUGCUCUGGAACUCCCAAGUGAACAGAUGGCUUUGCUGCAAGACUGGUUUUGUCCUCUCCACUACUGCAGCUGAUGUGAUGUGAUGCUGAUUAACCUGGAAAACUCAGCAAGUCCUGAGAAACAAUCAUUUUUUGAUAGGUCACAUUCUCCAGUUAGAAGAGACCCAUCCUGCCUUUCUACCAUCCAGAUGUCCAGUUCCGCAGGUGAUAAUAACCAUUCCAUUGGGCUGGUUCUUGCACAAGCACAAAUAUCAUAUUUCUUAGCUAUCUGUCAUAGCUGUUUGUUCAGGCAGGUCACCAAAAGCUGGAUUAGGUCUCUUGUCAUGUUCUCUAACACCCUUGUAUUUCUAACCCUGCCAGUCCAGGCCUUCCCCUAGCUUCCUGUGGCUUUGAUGCAGGGAUGUAAUUUCCAACUUUCUUGCCUUAGUCCAACCCUGCUGAAGUGACUCUCUCAUUUAGAUGUUAGACCUGUGCGGUGUUCAGGCUGUUCUGGAUAGCUUGGAAAUGAUUAUGACAGAGUCUGAAAUAAAGGCAAGAGGGUUUCAGUUUCCA